rnacentral:rRNA from 1 species
ACGAACGCUGGCGGCGUGCUUAACACAUGCAAGUCGAGCGGUAAGGCCCCUUCGGGGGUACACGAGCGGCGAACGGGUGAGUAACACGUGGGUGACCUGCCCUCAGCUCUGGGAUAAGCCUGGGAAACUGGGUCUAAUACCGGAUAUGACUCCAUGACGCAUGUCGUGGGGUGGAAAGCCUUGUGCGGCUGAGGAUGGGCCCGCGGCCUAUCAGCUUGUUGGUGGGGNGAUGGCCUACCAAGGCGACGACGGGUAGCCGGCCUGAGAGGGCGACCGGCCACACUGGGACUGAGACACGGCCCAGACUCCUACGGGAGGCAGCAGUGGGGAAUCUUGCGCAAUGGGCGAAAGCCUGACGCAGCGACGCCGCGUGAGGGAUGACGGCCUCGGUUGUAAC